GGGCCCGCACAAGCGGUGGAGCAUGUGGCUUAAUUCGAUGCAACGCGAAGAACCUUACCCAGGCUUGACAUGCACAGGAAAGUCCGGCGAAAGCCGGAGCCCUCUUCGGAGUCUGUGCACAGGUGCUGCAUGGCUGUCGUCAGCUCGUGUCGUGAGAUGUUCGGUUAAGUCCGGUAACGAGCGCAACCCUUGUCCCUAAUUGCCAGCGAGUAAUGUUGGGAACUUUAGGGAGACAACCUCCUCUGGAGGGGGAAGGUGGGGAUGACGUCAAGUCAGCAUGGCCCUUACGCCUGGGGCUGCACACGUGCUACAAUGCCCGGUACAAUGAGAUGCAAUCUCGCGAGGGGGAGCCAAUCUAUAAAACCGGGCCCAGUUCGGAUUGGAGUCUGCAAUUCGACUCCAUGAAGCCGGAAUCGCUAGUAAUGGCACAUCAGCUACGGUG
rnacentral:rRNA from 1 species